rnacentral:rRNA from 1 species
ACACAUGCAAGUCGAGCGGUAGAGAGAAGCUUGCUUCUCUUGAGAGCGGCGGACGGGUGAGUAAUGCCUAGGAAUCUGCCUGGUAGUGGGGGAUAACGUUCGGAAACGAACGCUAAUACCGCAUACGUCCUACGGGAGAAAGCAGGGGACCUUCGGGCCUUGCGCUAUCAGAUGAGCCUAGGUCGGAUUAGCUAGUUGGUGAGGUAAUGGCUCACCAAGGCGACGAUCCGUAACUGGUCUGAGAGGAUGAUCAGUCACACUGGAACUGAGACACGGUCCAGACUCCUACGGGAGGCAGCAGUGGGGAAUAUUGGACAAUGGGCGAAAGCCUGAUCCAGCCAUGCCGCGUGUGUGAAGAAGGUCUUCGGAUUGUAAAGCACUUUAAGUUGGGAGGAAGGGCAGUUACCUAAUACGUGAUUGUUUUGACGUUACCGACAGAAUAAGCACCGGCUAACUCUGUGCCAGCAGCCGCGGUAAUACAGAGGGUGCAAGCGUUAAUCGGAAUUACUGGGCGUAAAGCGCGCGUAGGUGGUUUGUUAAGUUGGAUGUGAAAUCCCCGGGCUCAACCUGGGAACUGCAUUCAAAACUGACUGACUAGAGUAUGGUAGAGGGUGGUGGAAUUUCCUGUGUAGCGGUGAAAUGCGUAGAUAUAGGAAGGAAC